CACUAAUUGAGGAAUUUCAAACACGAAUGUGGGCAAGGCGUUUUUAGGCAGUUGAGAAUAAUUAUACAGCUAUUAC